AGAGUUUGAUCCUGGCUCAGGACGAACGCUGGCGGCGCGCCUAACACAUGCAAGUCGAACGAGCGAGAGAGAGCUUGCUUUCUCGAGCGAGUGGCGAACGGGUGAGUAACGCGUGAGGAACCUGCCUCAAAGAGGGGGACAACAGUUGGAAACGACUGCUAAUACCGCAUAAGCCCACGGCUCGGCAUCGAGCAGAGGGAAAAGGAGCAAUCCGCUUUGAGAUGGCCUCGCGUCCGAUUAGCUAGUUGGUGAGGUAACGGCCCACCAAGGCGACGAUCGGUAGCCGGACUGAGAGGUUGAACGGCCACAUUGGGACUGAGACACGGCCCAGACUCCUACGGGAGGCAGCAGUGGGGAAUAUUGCACAAUGGGGGAAACCCUGAUGCAGCGACGCCGCGUGGAGGAAGAAGGUCUUCGGAUUGUAAACUCCUGUUGUUGAGGAAGAUAAUGACGGUACUCAACAAGGAAGUGACGGCUAACUACGUGCCAGCAGCCGCGGUAAAACGUAGGUCACAAGCGUUGUCCGGAAUUACUGGGUGUAAAGGGAGCGCAGGCGGGAAGACAAGUUGGAAGUGAAAUCCAUGGGCUCAACCCAUGAACUGCUUUCAAAACUGUUUUUCUUGAGUAGUGCAGAGGUAGGCGGAAUUCCCGGUGUAGCGGUGGAAUGCGUAGAUAUCGGGAGGAACACCAGUGGCGAAGGCGGCCUACUGGGCACCAACUGACGCUGAGGCUCGAAAGUGUGGGUAGCAAACAGGAUUAGAUACCCUGGUAGUCCACACCGUAAACGAUGAUUACUAGGUGUUGGAGGAUUGACCCCUUCAGUGCCGCAGUUAACACAAUAAGUAAUCCACCUGGGGAGUACGACCGCAAGGUUGAAACUCAAAGGAAUUGACGGGGGCCCGCACAAGCAGUGGAGUAUGUGGUUUAAUUCGAAGCAACGCGAAGAACCUUACCAGGUCUUGACAUCCAACUAACGAAGUAGAGAUACAUUAGGUGCCCUUCGGGGAAAGUUGAGACAGGUGGUGCAUGGUUGUCGUCAGCUCGUGUCGUGAGAUGUUGGGUUAAGU
rnacentral:rRNA from 1 species